rnacentral:rRNA from 1 species
ACGGAGGGUGCAAGCGUUAUCCGGAUUUAUUGGGUUUAAAGGGUGCGCAGGCGGACCUAUUAGUCAGUGGUGAAAUCCCGGGGCUCAACCCCGGAACUGCCAUUGAUACUGUAGGUCUUGAAUAUGGUUGAAGUAGGCGGAAUGUAGCAUGUAGCGGUGAAAUGCAUAGAUAUGCUACAGAACACCGAUCGCGAAGGCAGCUUACUAAGCCAUUAUUGACGCUCAGGCACGAAAGCGUGGGGAGCGAACAGG